AACCAAGCCAUUCUGGAAGUGAAAAAGAUUGCCUUGUUCAGGGUACAAAUGUGACAGAGGUAUUACGCCCAGUAGAUUUGGAGAGGUUCCCAUCCACGAUGUCCUGUACUGCAUUUGCAUCAAGGGACGCGAAGCGGUCACUGGACGCUAGAACUUUUGGCUCUACGGAAACGCUGGCUGUAUUUCCUAGUUCAGGGGCCAUCUCAGAACGGUUUUCAGCUUCAACAGCUGUUGU
rnacentral:lncRNA from 1 species